UAUGAUUUUCAUGGACAAAAACUUGCUGCUGGCAGAUGACCUUAUAGCUUAGCAGGACAACCACGUCCAGGAACUCCAAUUAUUGCCAUCCUCUGAUUGAAUGGUAAUAAUUAAUUCUACAAACAAUUUCCAUAUUUUUUUCCUCUGAUGUGGCACAAUGCCAUUGGCUCAAAACCUUCAUCGUUGAGUAGUUUGUUACAGAAGAGAUGGAAACUGUUCUUGUUGCUUUGUGAACUCGGAGAGAGAUAGAGAUAAUUCAGAACAGGGGGUCACUUGUUUGUUUUUCACUUUUGCCUACAUUAGUUGGUUGUUUUGUCCUUCGAAGUUUUGUUCUCUCCUCGUUCUUUUGAGGGGAAGAGAGGGUUAGAAGACAGAAGAGAGGAGUGUGUUGUUUUGUUGCAGGAAAGAGGGACAGAAUGUAUAAGCAAGCUUUAAUGGGAGAUGCAUGGAUAAGAGAAGCUCAAGAAGCAUCAAAGUUGGUGGAAGAUAUAGAAACUAGAGUAAAGAACAAGAACCCAUCUCUAAAACACCAAGAAAAUAGGCUUGUAGACAUUACUGCUCGUUCCAAGCUUUUGGAAGCUGGGAUCAAACUUGAUCGUCUUGAAUCUCUCCUUAGAAACCCUCCUUCAAAACCCAUUUUAACUGUGACUGUUCACAAAUGGUUGUUUCUAACUCUCUUUGUCAUGGAUAUGGUCGAUUCACUGUCCAUUUGCAGAACUAAUGAAGAUUUGGAUUAUCGGUGGAAGAUGCUGUCGGAACUGCAGCUAAGAACAAAAGCAUUGGCUCUUAGGCUGUAUGCUUUACCAACUUCAAGCAGGCCAGGAUGCUUAACUCCUGAAAAUGCCGAAGCAAUAAACACAAAUGUCAGUGACUGUGAGCAAGUUUUUAAUGGAGAAAAGAGCAUCCGAGCUAAAGUAGCAUCUCCAACCAAAAUUAGGUUGGAGCAAGGACCACUGGAAAUGUAAUCCUACAAGCAUUUACGAUAUAUGGCUACAAAGAAAACUGGAUAGUUAGAUGUUUCAUGAGAUUAGGAUUUGAAAGCUCCACUAAUUAUGAACUAAUCCGAGGAAAUGGAUGGAUCAGUUUCCUCUCCCGGAUUAACUAGAUCAAACAAAAUCGUCAUUGUCCAGAGAUGACCCAGAGCUUCUCAGACCUCUCAUUUCUAAUGAUGUAACGUUGCAAAGCCAAGUGCAGAUGAAGCAAUGUGGUACUUCUACUUCAUUGAGUUUGCUACAGAAGGUUUUCUGGAUCUUCGGUGCAGUUCUUGGAUCAGCUGCACUUAUAUUUAUCUUGGUUCUCAUCUGUGCAGUCAUAUAAUCUGAUUCUCAGCUGACCAUUUUGACUUUAAGACGUCUUCAUAAUCUUAAAGCUGGGAAACUAUUUUACACCAAUCUGUCAUCUACAUUUUUGUUUGGUAUGGCAUUUCAGGACAGAGGAAGCCUAUUUUGUAGAAUCAAAUACAUAGUUACAAACAAAACUUAAAGAAAUAAAUGAGGUGAUAUUUUAUCAUCUACUGCAAUUUUGAAUUGUAA